AACAUCUUGACCUACUCGGCCUCUUUGACAGGGCGGGACUAAGAAAAGAGGAAAAACAAAGUGAAGAAAGCGGAUGUGAAGUCAAAGGAGCUAGUCUUAAGUUCAGUACAGUCUGUUAUUUUACUUUUUCCUAUCAAGUAAAGAUCCAGUGUUUUUUCACAUUAGUGUGUAAUCUAUAGCAGGGAGAAAGAGCGUGUUAUGGAGCCGUUUUCAGUGAGUUAUUGUCUUAAUUUGGCGCAAACGGCCUAGCCAGGUGUUGCUAUUUGGCCAUUGCCCUGCUUAGCUGGUAGGAGAGACUCCAUGCGGGAAAUCCCUUUUGUCACCGAGUUUCUGAGAGGUCCAGCAAAUCCAGCAGGCCCAGGAGGUCCAGUCUCACCCCUGUCACCCUGAGGAGGAAGAGGAAGAAAGAGAGGCAACACACAUUCAGAGGAGCGCCGCGGGUACCAGGAGCUCCAGAAGGACCAGCAGGACCAGAUUCACCCUAUGUUGGACUCACCUUGGGUCCGUCAGUUCCAGGAGUUCCUGGCAGACCUCGAGGACCCUGCAG